rnacentral:lncRNA from 10 species
UCUCAAAAAAAAAGAAAAGAAUACAGGCCUGUAGAAGGAUUGCUUAAGCCCAGGAGUUCUGUAGUGUGUCAUACCAGUAGGGAAUCUGCACUAAUUUGGCAUCAAUAUGGUGACCUCCUGGGAGCAGGGGACCACCAGGUUGCCUAAGGAGUGAUGAACAAGCCCAGGUCAGAAACAGGUCAGGUCAAAACUACUGUGCUGAUCAGUAGUGGACUCACAACGGUGAAUAGCCACUGCCCUCCAGCCUGGGCAGCAUAAUG